rnacentral:lncRNA from 1 species
UCUUGUGUAGGGCUGCGGAAGCUCGUGGGCACCCUCCAAAAGUGGUGGAUUUCCAAAAAAGACAAGACAGAGCAAGAGUCAUAAAAUUUCAUCCAGUAACACCUUCCUCAGAGCCAUCCAGAGUCUUGAUAGCAACUGUUAGCAGAUGUUCAGAAAGGUCCCUAUGAAGGUACUGUUUCUCCAGCAGCAGAGUCCCAGAGAGAUUACAGAAGCCUGUGUGCUUCCUGGCAAAGAAUUUCUCAGGCAUUUUGUAGAGCCAAGAGACAUCAUUCCCAGCAAGCAUUGUCAAUAAUGAAUUUUUUUUUGCUGCUUUGGGGAUAGCUCAAUAGAGAGUUGCAGAUUUUUGGAGUUUUUCUCAAUUUAUUAUUUCUGUUACUGAUUCAAACGAGACUAUUCUGCCUUUCUGUUCCUGAUCCAAGUAUAGCUUUUUGUAUUUUUAUCUGCAGCAGAAUUCAAAUUUUAUAACACAGGUUGCUGUGAUACUUAUAAUUAUUGUUUAUUUUAGCUGAAUUUGUGUUGAAUCAACCAGUUUGUUGUAAAUUAGAUCAUAUCCCAAAACACUGAAUUUAUCAGCAAGAGUUUGAUCUGUCAUUUACCACUGUUGUAAAAUAGCUGAAUUUCAGAUAGGCUGUAUAAAGUUUAACUUCUAUAGUAUGAAAUGAGACUUCAAUUGUUGAACUGACAUGUCUGCUCAAACUGUUUCCAUGUAUUCUCAUGGCUUCAUAUGCCUUCUUUGUUUAACUAAAAUUAUAAUGCAUACAGUAGAAGUUAGCAAUUGAAAUUCAAAUUUCAAGUCUUUCAUUCUUCAAUCACUUUCUCUUACCCCUACAUAAUUUCUUAACACAAAAUGUCUAUUACAUUUUUCACAUUAUUCUUCUUUUAAAACUCAGUAUUGUCUCCUUCCCUGGGGAAAAAAUCCUGUCAUUUUUUUGUGAUCCUUGAAGUUUCUGAACAUUAUACAUCUGUUGUUUAUUUACUUUGUGAACAGGAAUGCAGAUAGAUGGAAACCUUAAAAAAAAAUAAAAUGAAUGUGUGCAGAACA